AUUGAACGCUGGCGGCAGGCUUAACACAUGCAAGUCGAGCGGGGGAAGGUAGCUUGCUACCGGACCUAGCGGCGGACGGGUGAGUAAUGCUUAGGAAUCUGCCUAUUAGUGGGGGACAACAUCUCGAAAGGGAUGCUAAUACCGCAUACGUCCUAUGAGAGAAAGCAGGGGAUCUUCGGAACUUGCGCUAAUAGAUGAGCCUAAGUCGGAUUAGCUAGUUGGUGGGGUAAAGGCCUACCAAGGCGACGAUCUGUAGCGGGUCUGAGGGGAUGAUCCGCCACACUGGGACUGAGACACGGCCCAGACUCCUACGGGAGGCAGCAGUGGGGAAUAUUGGACAAUGGGGGGAACCCUGAUCCAGCCAUGCCGCGUGUGUGAAGAAGGCCUUAUGGUUGUAAAGCACUUUAAGCGAGGAGGAGGCUACUUUAGUUAAUACCUAGAGAUAGUGGACGUUACUCGCAGAAUAAGCACCGGCUAACUCUGUGCCAGCAGCCGCCGUAA
rnacentral:rRNA from 1 species